rnacentral:lncRNA from 1 species
CUCCAUCAAAUCACUCGUAGUCUGGGUAUUCGAAGCCCAGGGCAUCCAUUACCCAAUUCAAUCUUUGUUUUUUCUCAACUACUAAAGGCAGUAGUCAUUGUCACACCCGAAUUUAAGGAACAAAGUCGGGUGCAUCUCAUAUAUGCGCCAGAGAAGACACCACAUAUAAUAAUAAAGUGCAUAGAGAUAAAUGUCAUAAAUAUCAUAAAUGUACUUAUUACAUAGCAAAAGUCUUACAAUGAUAAACUAAGCGAACUAAAUAUUAUUCCCUGGCGCCACAAAGCUGACUGAGAGACGCCACCUAGAUCAAGUCGAAAGCCUCAGUGCUAGACGGCUCCUCUUCGACCACCUGUUCUUCUCCUAUGGGGGUGUGAGACAGCAAGAGUGAGCUCACACAUGUUCAUCGCUCAACAAGGUUUAGGGAAUAUUGUGCAUGAAUGUAACACUCCAGGUUCCACAAACAACCCGGUAUGCUACUGUACUACACUUCCGACGUCCAUAUAUAAAAUUUCGGCAGCAUCCCCUUUGCAAGAUUGCAUAAAAGAGGGAGCAACGGAGUAUAAACAUAUAUCAUGACUAAAACAUACUAAGUAUUAUUACUCGGCUAGCAAGGAAAGAUAAACAUACGACCUGAACUGAAUUAACCAGUGCGCACGACCAUAUAAAAAAAUAAACAAACUUCCUUUGACAAUAAGUUUCUAAUUAAAUCAUGGCUGCGCCUGGGCAGCGUUAUUGUGAGAGUGAAAGUGGACGUGCUGCUACUCCUCUCAUUCCCAACAUGUAUCAAGUACCUGCAUUGAGUAAUGCAAGAGUGAGAUGACACAUCUCAGCAAGUAAAAUAAUAUCAAACAGUUUAACCACAUAAGAACAUUGUUUUACCACCACUUAAUUCCACAACCUUCUUAUUACGAAGGUGCAGCACGUAUACAACGUACAACGCACCUAGUUACCACACCUCGCAGGUAGAAACCACAAUAGUAACAUAGUAAUGUCACACUUUAUAUAUUCCUCAUGAGUGCAAAUGUCUGCAAAUGCAAGGAUGACUUCUGCCUUCAUACCUCUAAGGAUAUGAAGCCGCAUCGUACCCCUCCUCGGGCAACGUACGAUGCUAAAAAUGUACCGGUACGGUCGGACCAUAAGAUCACGACAUAACUUCAAAAUGCAAGAUGGAUGAUGCGAUGUGCAUGUCAUGCCUACAACACUUCAUAUAACAUGAUUCAAAAAGACACUUCAACUUCAUCCAGAUGGGAAUCAACCCCAUAUAUCAUUACCAAAUUAUGAUCAUCCACAAUAUUAGACAAUUGAGAAUUAAUACUUCCAAACAAAUAAACUUCAUCAUAGAAUUCAAUGAUUAACAUAAUUAAAACUUAUGCAUACUCAAUGACAGGGAAUAGGAUGCAAACCAAACGGUAGCAACCACCACUGUAUUUACUUGCCUUUACCGGAAGUUCGGGCAAAUCCCAAGUACGAUCCGGAAGCCCAGCACCUGUUUUUGACACCCAACUUAGUACACCAAUUUCACAUAAUCAGGCUCAUAAGCGACGCCGCACCUACGCACAAACUCAAACCCCGCCGCGGGUUACAUCUCUCCCUACACCCACCAAACUGCAGCGGCGCUGCUUAAUAAUUUCAUAACUUUAAAAUUAUGACAGCAGUGGUAACAAACAAAAACUCCAGAGGCAUCUACAUAAAAUUCCCCACAAGUUUUGUAUACAAUUUAUAAUUAAAUUCCAAUAUCUAAUUAGCCCAAAACAGUCCACAAGAUGAACACUGUAAUCUGUUUUUUCUUUGUCUUUUGGACAGCGACAUACCCAGAUUCAAACAGCGAUAUCUUUUAAAAUAUAAUUCCAAAUCAAGCGCAUAAGUACUCAUUGGAAAGAUAAGACAAAUCCCUACAUGAUUACCAUACUGGUUAACACUAAUUACCCACGAAAAAUUCCCAGAAACUGCUAAUACCACUGCUGUUCACCCACCUGAAAAAUCUGUUUUUUUUGGACAGCAACAUAACCGGAUUCAAACAACGAUAUCUCCUGAAUUAUAACUCCGAAUCGAGCACAUAAGUACUUGUUGGAAAGAUAACAUAAAGCCCUACAUGAUUCUCAUACUGAUUAACACUAAUUACUCCCGAAAAAUCCCCAGAAACUGCUAAUACUGCUGCUGUUCAUCCCCCUGAAAAAUCUGUUUUUUUUGGACAGCCACACCCGGAUUCAAACGGUGAUAACUUUCAAUUUAUAACUCCAAAUUGAGCGCAUAAAUACUCGUUGGAAAGGUAAGGUAAAGUUCUACAUGAUCCCCAAACUGAUUUCCCUUAAUUCCUCACGAAAAAAACACAGAAACUGCUAGACUACUGCUGUUCACCCACCACCUAAAAUUCUGGACAGCCCCCCUCUAUCCCAAUCGCAAACGCAACCUCUAAUCAAUUAAAUUGCAGCGCAAAUGAACAAGGGAUGAACACAAAAACCACCUUGGAUUCUCCCCCUUUCCUUCCUCCCUUCUUGCCUCCACCAAAACGAUUGAAGACUCGCACCACAACGACGAUGAUCCGAGCGGCAAGGAUUAGCACCUUGGGAGGAGGGGAUUGAGAGGGGGGGGGGGGCGGCUAGGGUUUGGUGGCUGCAAGAAUUGAGAGAGGAGGAGAUGGGCAGGGGGGCGGCGGCCAAGGGGGAAGAGAAG